rnacentral:rRNA from 1 species
AUUGAACGCUGGCGGCAGGCCUAACACAUGCGAGUCGAGCGGAUGAAGGGAGCUUGCUCCUGGAUUCAGCGGCGGACGGGUGAGUAAUGCCUAGGAAUCUGCCUGGUAGUGGGGGAUAACGUCCGGAAACGGGCGCUAAUACCGCAUACGUCCUGAGUGAGAAAGUGGGGGAUCUUCGGACCUCACGCUAUCAGGUGAGCCUAGGUCGGAUUAGCUAGUUGGUGGGGUAAAGGCCUACCAAGGCGACGAUCCGUAACUGGUCUGAGAGGAUGAUCAGUCACACUGGAACUGAGACACGGUCCAGACUCCUACGGGAGGCAGCAGUGGGGAAUAUUGGACAAUGGGCGAAAGCCUGAUCCAGCCAUGCCGCGUGUGUGAAGAAGGUCUUCGGAUUGUAAAGCACUUUAAGUUGGGAGGAAGGGCAGUAAGUUAAUACCUUGCUGUUUUGACGUUACCAACAGAAUAAGCACCGGCUAACUUCGUG